AUGGCAGCGGACGCGAGAAGGGGUGAGGGGCCCAGGAGCCACAACGGGAGCCACGAGAGCGAGUUGGACUUGGCCAUGCUCGUCAGCGACUGCCUCAAGGGUAACAGCGGCGAGGACCCGGGCUCCCCGACCUCGGCCACUUCGCAGACAAGAUCAAGGAGUAUGUACAAGAAAGCAGGAGAUGAGAAAGAAAACAAGCUGCUCUCCAUUGUUCACUCCCUCUUCUCGAUCCACGAGACAUGGCUCCAGGUUUUUGUAAGAGGUCAAUGUACUGGCAGCUGCAGUCGCCAUCUACUCAUGAAGCUCUUAUGUACUUGA
rnacentral:rRNA from 1 species